rnacentral:ribozyme from 1 species
UUUUUUUUUUUUUUUUUUUUUUUUUUUUUUUUUCUU